rnacentral:rRNA from 1 species
CCUGGUGAUCAUAGAGAGCUAGAACCACCUGAUCCCAUCCCGAACUCAGCAGUGAAAUGGUUCUUCGCCGAUGGUAGUGUGGGGCUUCCCCAUGCGAGAGUAGGACAUUGCCAGGU